UGCCAGACUCCUACGGGAGGCAGCAGUGGGGAAUAUUGCGCAAUGGGGGCAACCCUGACGCAGCAACGCCGCGUGAUUGAAGAAGGCCUUCGGGUUGUAAAGAUCUUUAAUCAGGGACGAAAAAUGACGGUACCUGAAGAAUAAGCUCCGGCUAACUACGUGCCAGCAGCCGCGGUAAUACGUAGGGAGCAAGCGUUAUCCGGAUUUACUGGGUGUAAAGGGCGUGUAGGCGGGCCUGUAAAUCAGAAGUGAAAUCUGGGGGCUUAACCCCCAAACUGCUUUUGAAACUGCGGGUCUUGAGUGAUGGAGAGGCAGGCGGAAUUCCCAGUGUAGCGGUGAAAUGCGUAGAUAUUAGGAGGAACACCAGUGGCGAAGGCGGCUUACUGGACUGUAACUGACACUGAGGCACGAAAGCGUGGGGAGCAAACAGGAUUAGAUACCCUUGUA
rnacentral:rRNA from 1 species